AAGUCAGAUGUGAAAUCCCCGGGCUCAACCUGGGAACUGCAUUUGAAACUGGCAGGCUUGAGUCUUGUAGAGGGGGGUAGAAUUCCAGGUGUAGCGGUGAAAUGCGUAGAGAUCUGGAGGAAUACCGGUGGCGAAGGCGGCCCCCUGGACAAAGACUGACGCUCAGGUGCGAAAGCGUGGGGAGCAAACAGGAUUAGAUACCCUGGUAGUCCACGCUGUAAACGAUGUCGACUUGGAGGUUGUUCCCUUGAGGAGUGGCUUCCGGAGCUAACGCGUUAAGUCGACCGCCUGGGGAGUACGGCCGCAAGGUUAAAACUCAAAUGAAUUGACGGGGGCCCGCACAAGCGGUGGAGCAUGUGGUUUAAUUCGAUGCAACGCGAAGAACCUUACCUACUCUUGACAUCCAGAGAACUUAGCAGAGAUGCUUUGGUGCCUUCGGGAACUCUGAGACAGGUGCUGCAUGGCUGUCGUCAGCUCGUGUUGUGAAAUGUUGGGUUAAGUCCCGCAACGAGCGCAAC
rnacentral:rRNA from 1 species